AAAGUGGCGGGGUGUCACCCGAACUUUCACAGCCCACUCUCUCCUGGCGUUGGACACUAAGCUGCUGGAGGCGAAGACUCACAUAGGACAUCGCCAUGGCGGAAAUCGAGCAGUCUAUGAUUGAUGAGAUGAAGGAUGGAUUCCCCCUGUUUGACAACAAGGGUGAUGGCAAGAUCGACGGAGCACAGCUGGGCGAUGUCUUGAGGUCUUUCGGCCUGAACCCCAGCAACGCGGAAGUCGAGAAGAUCGCGAAGGCGAAUGAGGGCAAGAGGCUGAGCUUCGAUGACUACCUGGCCAUCCACAAGCAGGUCCUUGCUCAGGGUGAGGUCGGAUCGUACGAGGACUUCUUUGAGGGCCUGAAGCUUUUCGACAAGGAGGGCACCGGCCUGAUCAGUGGAGCUGAGCUGCGCCACGUGUUGGCCACACUAGGUGAGAAGCUGACUGAGGCCCAGGUUGAUGAGUUGAUGGCUGGCGGUGGCGGACAGGAGGACGCUGAGGGCAAUGUCAACUACGACAUGUUCUCUAAAUAUGCCUUGGAGGGCUAGACCAUAGAAUUCAUCUGUUACGCUCUCGCAGAGGCUCUUUAAGUUCGUCAAGUACAUCCUGACUGGUUAAGAUAUCCGCGUAAGGAGAGGAAGAGGAAGGUGUUUGAUAACAUCCAAGAACACCAUGUAUAGUUAGAGCUAUUUAUGUUUGCCGAGAAAAAAAACAAAGAAGUUCAAUCAGAUGCAACGAAGGACCAUCACGUGUUUCAACGGCUGCCUUUAGAAGAUAGCUCACUUGCGUCCACGACGCAUGCCCAGAACUCUUGAAAACUCGCGGGGUUACCAACCGGCGUUCAGUGCGCAUGUCUUUAGCAUUUCCAGCUCUGAUUUUACCUAGGGUAACGUUGGCGUUUUCUUCAACUGUUCUGGGGCACGCCAUAACAACUUUUCUAAAAUGUGUAAAAUGUAAAUGUAACAAAUUUUCGCAGACUAUUGUAGCAUUCGACCUUACUUUGGUGUGCAUGUGCCUAAAUGUGUCCCCCGAUCGACUGUGAAUUUUGUUACUUUGUUCCCUUUCUAUGUUCAAUAAAGUACUGGGUUUGGAACAA